rnacentral:tRNA from 1 species
AAGGGAGACCUAAUUCAGGUAGGAGACGAAAAAAAAGUAGUCCCUACCAAGAAUCAAUCCCAAAAGGUCGGAGCGGGGCAAAAUUGGCUUUCAAACUAGGUUCUGGGUUCACACAAGACCUGAAUCAGGAACAAGGGCUAUUAGCUCAGGUGGUUAGAGCGCACCCCUGAUAAGGGUGAGGUCCCUGGUUCGAGUCCAGGAUGGCCCACCUGUACAGGUGGCAAAAACAAAGAAAAGAAGCGAGGAAUCAGCACCUUAUCUUACUUAUAUAGUAAGAGAGAAUGCUGGCUCUGAGUUCAGAGUCCAGAGGAACCUUGAAAACUGCAUAGAGCUAGGUGAAAAAGCCAAAAAAGAAGACCACAA